GUUCUUUAUUUGUAGAUAUAAAAUCAAUAAUAUCUACAACUUGGAGACUAGCCAUUAGAUGAAAAUACUGAACAUUGUUAAACACCAGAGGUGUGACAAUCUAGACAAAAUGUCUACAACGGCAACAAGACUACAGCACAUUCCGGGCUACCAAAACAAACUUAGAAGCACAUUACCCUACUACUAAAUUCAUUAGUUGUCUUUGUCUAACAAGAAAAGAGUUAAAAUACGACAAACAAAGCUACUACUUCAGUAAACAAACUAAGCACGCUCGCCUCUAAUUCGCCUGGCAAGCUGAAUGUCCUUUGGCAUGAUAGUCACACGCUUGGCGUGAAUGGCACAAAGGUUAGUGUCCUCAAAGAGACCCACCAAGUAGGCCUCAGCAGCCUCUUGCAGAGCUAGCACCGCAUGACUCUGGAAACGCAAAUCAGUCUUG
rnacentral:misc_RNA from 1 species